AGUGAACGCUGGCGGUAGGCCUAACACAUGCAAGUCGAACGGCAGCACAGUAAGAGCUUGCCCUUACGGGUGGCGAGUGGCGGACGGGUGAGGAAUACAUCGGAAUCUACUUUUUCGUGGGGGAUAACGUAGGGAAACUUACGCUAAUACCGCAUACGACCUACGGGUGAAAGCAGGGGAUCUUCGGACCUUGCGCGAUUGAAUGAGCCGAUGUCGGAUUAGCUAGUUGGCGGGGUAAGGGCCCACCAAGGCGACGAUCCGUAGCUGGUCUGAGAGGAUGAUCAGCCACACUGGAACUGAGACACGGUCCAGACUCCUACGGGAGGCAGCAGUGGGGAAUAUUGGACAAUGGGCGCAAGCCUGAUCCAGCCAUACCGCGUGGGUGAAGAAGGCCUUCGGGUUGUAAAGCCCUUUUGUUGGGAAAGAAAAGCAGCAGGUUAAUACCCCGCUGUUCUGACGGUACCCAAAGAAUAAGCACCGGCUAACUUCGUG
rnacentral:rRNA from 1 species